rnacentral:rRNA from 1 species
CCUACGGGAGGCAGCAGUGAGGAAUAUUGGUCAAUGGACGCAAGUCUGAACCAGCCAUGCCGCGUGCAGGAAGACUGCCCUAUGGGUUGUAAACCUCUUUUGUCAGGGAGCAACGCCGGCUACGUGUAGCCGGACUGAGAGUACCUGAAGAAAAAGCAUCGGCUAACUCCGUGCCAGCAGCCGCGGUAAUACGGAGGGUCCGAGCGUUAUCCGGAUUUAUUGGGUUUAAAGGGAGCGUAGGUGGAUUGUUAAGUCAGUUGUGAAAGUUUGCGGCUCAACCGUAAAAUUGAAGUUGAAACUGGCAGUCUGGAGUACAGUAGAGGUGGGAGGAAUUCGUGGUGUAGCGGUGAAAUGCUUAGAUAUGACGAAGAACUCCGAUUGCGAAGGCAGUUCACUGGACUGCAACUGACACUGAGGCUCGAAAGUGUGGGUAUCAAACAGGAUUAGAUACCCUAGUAGUC